AAGUCGUAACAAGGUUUCCGUAGGUGAACCUGCGGAAGGAUCAUUAACGUAUCCUGGCGGGGUGCGGUCUGCCCAGCUCCGGUCCCCUCGGGCCGUGCAGCGGGUGCCCGUCCCCGUCCCCACCUCACAAACCCACUGUGAACCUUCACGGCGGAUGGGGCCUCCGGUUGACGCUGGCGCGCCUCUGAUGCCGCAUACCAAACUCCAAGUUUAAAGAAUGUCGUGCGGACAUUGUGCCGCCUAAAACACUAAACAACUUUCAACAACGGAUCUCUUGGCUCUCGCAUCGAUGAAGAACGCAGCGAAAUGCGAUAAGUAAUGUGAAUUGCAGAAUUCAGUGAAUCAUCGAAUCUUUGAACGCACCUUGCGCUCCUUGGUAUUCCGAGGAGCAUGCCUGUUUGAGUGUCUUGAAGUCAUCAACCCCCUCCGUUUCGUGCGGUUCGGGUUGGAGCUGGGGGCUCUGCCGCCGCAAGGCGGCUCCCCUCAAAUGCAUCGGUUGGGCCUGUGGGUCGAACUCGACUGGGCGUUGUACCAUCCUCGCUCGACAGAGACGUUCCCCUCUUGCGCCCUUCCCCGACUGCCUCUUCAAGGGGUGGCGGUCAACUUUUUGAAAUCUGACCUCAAAUCAGGUAGGACUACCCGCUGAACUUAA
rnacentral:rRNA from 1 species